rnacentral:misc_RNA from 1 species
GAUGAAGAACGUAGCGAAAUGCGAUACGUAAUGUGAAUUGCAGAAUUCAGUGAAUCAUCGAGUCUUUGAACGCACAUUGCGCCCCCUGGUAUUCCGGGGGGCAUGCCUGUCCGAGCGUCAUUGCUGCCCUCAAGCACGGCUUGUGUGUUGGGCCCCGUCCUCCUUCCGGGGGACGGGUCCGAAAGGCAGCGGCGGCACCGCGUCCGGUCCUCAAGCGUAUGGGGCUUUGUCACUCGCUUUGUAGGCCUGGCCGGCGCUUGCCGAUCAACCAAACUUUUUAUCAGGUUGACCUCGGAUCAGGUAGGGAUACCCGCUGAACUUAAGCAUAUCAAUAAGCGGAGGA